CGGACGGGUGAGUAACGCGUGAGAAUCUACCUUCAGGACGGGGACAACAGCUGGAAACGGCUGCUAAUACCCGAUAUGCCGAAAGGUGAAACGUUGUUUCGCCUGGAGAGGAGCUCGCGUCCGAUUAGCUAGUUGGUGGGGUAAAAGCUUACCAAGGCGACGAUCGGUAGCUGGUCUGAGAGGAUGAGCAGCCACACUGGAACUGAGACACGGUCCAGACUCCUACGGGAGGCAGCAGUGGGGAAUUUUCCGCAAUGGGCGAAAGCCUGACGGAGCAACGCCGCGUGGGGGAAGAAGGUUUUCGGAUUGUAAACCCCUUUUCUCAAGGAAGAACAAAAUGACGGUACUUGAGGAAUCAGCCUCGGCUAACUCCGUGCCAGCAGCCGCGGUAAUACGGAGGAGGCAAGCGUUAUCCGGAAUUAUUGGGCGUAAAGCGUUCGUAGGCGGCUGUUCAAGUCUGCUGUCAAAGACCGAGGCUCAACCUCGGGUCGGCAGUGGAAACUGGAUAGCUAGAGGUCGGUAGGGGCAGAGGGAAUUCCCAGUGUAGCGGUGAAAUGCGUAGAUAUUGGGAAGAACACCGGUGGCGAAAGCGCUCUGCUGGGCCGAACCUGACGCUGAGGGACGAAAGCUAGGGGAGCGAAUGGGAUUAGAUACCCCAGUAGUC
rnacentral:rRNA from 1 species